rnacentral:tRNA from 1 species
AGCCCCAUAGUGUAGUGGCCAAGCAUCCGGGACUCUGACUCCCGUGACGAGAGUUCGAAUCUCUCUGGGGCUA